GCUCGGGUGGCGUAACGGUAGCCGCGGGGGACUUAAAAUCCCCUGACCUCAACAGUCGUGUGGGUUCGAGUCCCACCCUGAGCA
rnacentral:tRNA from 1 species